rnacentral:sRNA from 1 species
GACAAUAUUACAACAAAUUUAGUUGAAGGUUCUAAUUGGUAGUUGUUGCAGGUCACGGUUGCCUCUGAAGGGCCCUAACAGGCUCAAACACAGCAAACA